rnacentral:tRNA from 1 species
GAGGGGAUAGCUCAGUGGCAGAGCACGUGCUUAGCAUGCACGAGGUCCUGGGUUCAAUCCCCAGUACCACCA